rnacentral:rRNA from 1 species
GACGAACGCUGGCGGCGUGCUUAACACAUGCAAGUCGAACGGAAAGGCCCUGCUUUUGUGGGGUGCUCGAGUGGCGAACGGGUGAGUAACACGUGAGUAACCUGCCCUUGACUUUGGGAUAACUUCAGGAAACUGGGGCUAAUACCGGAUAGGAGCUCCUGCUGCAUGGUGGGGGUUGGAAAGUUUCGGCGGGUGGGGAUGGACUCGCGGCUUAUCAGCUUGUUGGUGGGGUAGUGGCUUACCAAGGCUUUGACGGGUAGCCGGCCUGAGAGGGUGACCGGCCACAUUGGGACUGCGAUACGGCCCAGACUCCUACGGGAGGCAGCAGUGGGGAAUAUUGCACAAUGGGCGGAAGCCUGAUGCAGCAACGCCGCGUGCGGGAUGACGGCCUUCGGGUUGUAAACCGCUUUCGCCUGUGACGAAGCGUGAGUGACGGUAAUGGGUAAAGAAGCACCGGCCAACUACGUG